UCAUGAACUGUGAGAUGGUGACCUGAGCUGAAAUCAAGAGUCAGACGCUUAGCCAACUGAAGCACCCCCAAAUUUUGCCUUUUUAACCAUAUAGUAAAACUGUUCAUUUAAUAAGAGGCCAUACUUCAGUAACCACUUAGCUUUGCCUUUCUACUAAAAUUUCACCACUUUGAAUUUAUGUGUCACUUUAUAGAAACCACAUGUUACUAUAAGCCUCUUUGUUAUUCAACAUUAUAUUAAAUAACAUGAGAGGAAGACUGUGGAGAUAAAUAGAGUUAAAACAAUAAGGAUAUAGAGCAUAAGAAUGGUUGGCAUUGAACAUAUUGAUUGUUACUGCAGUAUGGAAGAUGCUCUGUUGGAUACUAUGGCUGAAUUAUAAUACAAAUAAGAAACAGUUCUUUCCUGCCAGAGACAUAGGGAUGAAAGGUAUACAAAUAACUCAUUUAGUGUCUUCUGAGUAACAUGACAAGAACUGCUUUGGGAACUACAAGUCAUUCUUAAGGCUUGGAAGUACAGAUAGUGCUCUCUGUGCAGCUGGGUGUUUGCUUAAAAAUUUAGUUCUUAAACUUAGGUGUGUAUCAGAAUCAUCUGGAGGGUGCAUCAAAGAUUACUGGCUCCGCCUUCAGAGUUUCUGAUUUGGUGUCGGGGGUUGGGGCCUGAGGAGUUGCAUUUCUCGCAUGUUCCAGGUGAUGCAGAUGUGGUUUGGGAACUACUCUUUUGGAACCACCAGCUUAGAUCAAUAAACAGAGACUUGACCAAAGGAUAAGAAUAAAUCACAAAUCUGGAGAAGUGGAUAGGCAGAAGAUACAAGGGAUAUUGUCAGUAUUGAGCCAUGGUAAUACUUUAUAAAGACAAAAAAAAAAAAA